rnacentral:tRNA from 1 species
AUUUAUAUAGUUUAUCUAAAACAUUACAUUUUCAAUGUAAAAAUAUAUUAAUA